GACGAACGCUGGCGGCGUGCUUAACACAUGCAAGUCGAACGGAAAGGCCCUGCUUUUGUGGGGUUCUCGAGUGGCGAACGGGUGAGUAACACGUUAGUAACCUGCCCUUUACUUUGGGAUAACUUCAGGAAACUGGGGCUAAUACCGGAUAGGAUCUCCUGCUGCAUGGUGGGGGUUGGAAAUUUUCGGCGGUUGGGGAUGGACUCGCGGCUUAUCAGCUUGUUGGUGGGGUAGUGGCUUACCAAGGCUUUGACGGGUAGCCGGCCUGAGAGGGUGACCGGGCACAUGGGGACUGAGAGACGGAACAGAAGGCAACGGGAGGCAGCAGUGGGGAAUAUUGCAUAAUGGGCGGAAGCCUGAUGAAGCAACGCCGCGUGCGGGAUGACGGCCUUCGGGUUGUAAACCGAUUUAGACUGUGACGAAGAGUGAGUGACGGUAAUGGGUAAAGAAGCACCGGCUAACUACGUG
rnacentral:rRNA from 1 species